GCCAUGGUGGCCUGGUGGUCUGGACAGUUGACUGCCAACCCAUAGGUCCCGGGUUCGAAUCCCGGAAAUGGCA
rnacentral:tRNA from 1 species